rnacentral:rRNA from 1 species
GACGAACGCUGGCGGCGUGCUUAACACAUGCAAGUCGAACGGAAGGGCCCUGCUUUUGUGGGGUGCUCGAGUGGCGAACGGGUGAGUAACACGUGAGUAACCUGCCCUUGACUUUGGGAUAACUUCAGGAAACUGGGGCUAAUACCGGAUAGGAGCUCCUGCUGCAUGGUGGGGGUUGGAAAGUUUCGGCGGUUGGGGAUGGACUCGCGGCUUAUCAGCUUGUUGGUGGGGUAGUGGCUUACCAAGGCUUUGACGGGUAGCCGGCCUGAGAGGGUGACCGGCAACAUGGGGAUGGAGAUACGGCCCAGAGUCCUAGGGGAGGGAGCAGUGGGGAAUAUUGCACAAUGGGCGGAAGCCUGAUGCAGCAACGCCGGGUGCGGGAUGAGGGCCUUGGGUUUGUAAACCGUUUUCGCCUGUGACGAAGCGUGAGUGACGGUAAUGGGUAAAGAAGCACCGGCUAACUACGUG